rnacentral:rRNA from 1 species
UACGUAGGGGGCUAGCGUUGUCCGGAUUUAUUGGGCGUAAAGAGCGUGUAGGCGGCUUUACAGGUCCGUUGUGAAAACUCGAGGCUCAACCUCGAGACGCCGGUGGAAACCGUAAAGCUAGAGUCCGGAAGAGGAGAGUGGAAUUCCUGGUGUAGCGGUGAAAUGCGCAGAUAUCAGGAAGAACACCCGUGGCGAAGGCGGCUCUCUGGGCAACAACUGACGCUGAGGAGCGAAAGCGUGGGGAGCGAACAGG